AGUGAACGCUGGCGGUAGGCCUAACACAUGCAAGUCGAACGGCAGCACAGUAAGAGCUUGCUCUUACGGGUGGCGAGUGGCGGACGGGUGAGGAAUACAUCGGAAUCUACUUUUUCGUGGGGGAUAACGUAGGGAAACUUACGCUAAUACCGCAUACGACCUACGGGUUAAAGCAGGGGAUCUUCGGACCUUGCGCGAUUGAAUGAGCCGAUGCCGGAUUAGCUAGUUGGCGGGGUAACGGCCCACCAAGGCGACGAUCCGUAGCUGGUCUGAGAGGAUGAUCAGCCACACUGGAACUGAGACACGGUCCAGACUCCUACGGGAGGCAGCAGUGGGGAAUAUUGGACAAUGGGCGCAAGCCUGAUCCAGCCAUACCGCGUGGGUGAAGAAGGCCUUCGGGUUGUAAAGCCCUUUUGUUGGGAAAGAAAAGCAGCAGGUUAAUACCCCGCUGUUCUGACGGUACCCAAAGAAUAAGCACCGGCUAACUUCGUG
rnacentral:rRNA from 1 species